UAAUUGGAGCAAUUUAUGUUCCUACUAAUGUAACUGUAGUAGGAGGACAAAUGAUAAGCAGUAGUGUCAGAUUUCUGCUAUUGCUAUUUUUAUAGCUGUAGUUGCAGGACACACAUCUAUACAUUGCUGUACUGUCCUCCUCCAGUUAUUAUUUUAAUUGUAAUUGCAUGACAAUCUUUAAUCAUUAUUUAAAAUAUGUUUGACCUUGAAAAUCUGUCAUCCAUGGAAAUUAACUCUGAUUAACUUUCAGUGUGUAUGUCUUCCACUACUUUGAAUAUUGUUAGUAUUAGGCUCUGGCUACUAUUGCACUGGGGAGUGUAGAUUAGAUGUAAUAUCUUUUCCAACUACAUAGUCAUCAGUGUUUUUGUUUUUUUCUGAAAAUAACUUUUUUUCAGUAUUUUGAUGAUUCUUUUAAUAUGCUGUGGGUAAUCAAGAUAUAACCUAACCUCACCAACGGUUUUUGUUAUUUCCUAAUUAACCAAAUACUUGAAAUUAAUCUCCAAUGAUAUAUAAAUUAUUUCUAAAAUAAUUAAUAAUUAAGUCUAAAAACACUUUAAAAUUCUUCCUAAGAUUUUUAUUAAAUAAAAAAAACUUAAAGAAACUAAAUGAUAUUGAUAUUCCUAUAAGUAAUACUUUAUUUCUAAAUAUUUUAUCAUUUAACAAAUAAAAAAAAAAGAAUUUUUAAAAUAUAUUGUAACACCAGUAACGGGUGGAGUUCAAAAAGAACCCACACCAUUAAACUAUCCGUGUAUAAUAAAAGGUGGGUAGCUCCUUAGGGCUGGUGUUUGUUGUGAUGGGAGCUACUGACCCUGCGGAUAGAAUUUAGUAGGAACUGGGAACAUGGCACCAAAUUUUCUAUAAGGUAAUGACCUCCAUUUCUUCAAAGCAUAUGUCCCUGGACAUAUGGUUUGAUCAGUUGGUCUGAGUUAGAUGAACAUGGAUUCCUAGGUCAUUUAAUACCAAUAAUUGGUGGGGAAUCCAUGUUUUGUCAGAUCAACUGGUUCCCAUUAUAUUUUUUCUUUCUCAUAAUUAUAAGUUUAAUUUAAUUUUUCACUCAAAUUACUAUUGCUAUAUUCAUAAGUUUUAUCUAACUAUUCUUACAAUUAUUAAUGGACAAAGACAUUCAAAAUUCACAACCACUGGACCUCCAUUAUAAAUAAGUUAGCAUGUUGCUCUUUAAGCGGGGAUACCUAUUGUUUGGUUCAGUGGUGUAACAAUGGGUAUCCUUCUGUGCUAAUAAACAUGGAUAGUAAGUAGUUGUGUUUGUAAACAGUGGUUUGAGGAAAAGAGGGUUACCCUACUCCUCAAACCAUGACUUUGCAAUCACAAUUUUUACCAUUCAUGUUUUAGAAGUGAAUCAAGCGUAUAUAAGCUUAAAACAUAAAUUAACUUUAUUUUUUACCCAUACAUCAAGGAUCUACUAGGUAUACUUCCUCUGCUAACUCGUGUCAACUUUACACAACUCAUCAAUAAUCUCUAUUGAAGAAGUAUCUUAUCUCUCACAGUAAUGGAACUUGGAUGCACUCAACUAAUUACUAGUUUAAAGUGAAUAAUACUUGCUGCAUCUAAACUCUGGCCCAAUGGUUACAGUUGGAAUAAGAAUGUCUUGAAUAGAAGGGGUUUUAUUCUGCCAGUGAAGAUUUGUCCCUGUAAUUUCAGGUUGAGGUUAUUGAAUGAUUGAUUGACUACAGUUAUAUGUCUGCUUCACAAAACCUGUAUCCUGGAACUACAAUGCUCAGGGACAAUCCUGUCCUGAAGAAUGCAGUGCCUGAUUUUAGAUUUACUGAAUGAUUAAUGGCUUUUAUCUUCCACACAUUAUAUCAGAUCAACGAUUCAAAGGUACCCUUGUAAAUGAGGCAUUAUCA